UACGGGGGGGGUAAGCGUUGUUCGGAAUUACUGGGCGUAAAGGGCUCGUAGGUGGCCAACUAAGUCAGACGUGAAAUCCCUCGGCUUAACCGGGGAACUGCGUCUGAUACUGGAUGGCUUGAGUUCGGGAGAGGGAUGCGGAAUUCCAGGUGUAGCGGUGAAAUGCGUAGAUAUCUGGAGGAACACCGGUGGCGAAGGCGGCAUCCUGGACCGACACUGACACUGAGGAGCGAAAGCCAGGGAGCAAACGGG
rnacentral:rRNA from 1 species